rnacentral:rRNA from 1 species
UACGUAGGGAGCGAGCGUUGUCCGGAAUUACUGGGUGUAAAGGGAGCGUAGGCGGGCGAGAAAGUUGAAUGUUAAAUCUACCGGCUUAACUGGUAGCUGCGUUCAAAACUUCUUGUCUUGAGUGAAGUAGGGGCAGGCGGAAUUCCUAGUGUAGCGGUGAAAUGCGUAGAUAUUAGGAGGAACACCAGUGGCGAAGGCGGCCUGCUGGGCUUUAACUGACGCUGAGGCUCGAAAGCGUGGGGAGCAAACAGG